rnacentral:rRNA from 1 species
GUCUACGGCCAUGCCACCCUGAACAAGCCCAAUGUCUGAUCUCAGAAACUAAGCAGGGUCGGGCCUGGUUAGUCCUUGGAUGGGAGACCACCUAGGAAGACCAAGUACUGUAGGCA